AAAUAAAGCCAUUGCGACACCCAUUCAAAGAGUCGUUCCCCAUCCAGGGGCUACCUUACCAUAUUCCGAAUUCAAUGGUUUCAAAAAAUCCCCUACAACAGUUCGUCUUGGACCAGAUCUAGAACUACCCUCAACGGUUUGUGUAGCCAUAAAUCUUAUUUUGUAUUCAGUGAGAUCUGUUGACUUUGUAUAUCAUUCCGCUGUAAAUAAACAAUCUUAUCAUAGACCCAUUGUGAUCUUGAAAUUAUAUAAUAAUGGAAACAGCAACCUUAGUCGCCAUCUCUAUAUCUGGUUUACUUGUAAGUUUUACUGGGUACGCCUUAUAUACUGCUUUUGGGCAACCCUCUCAACAAUUAAGAGAUCCAUUCGAGGAACACGGGGACUAAUUGAAAUAAUGAAAAAUCAUUUCAUUUUUUUAGUUAGAAUUUUAGG